CAUCUGUAUACAUCUGUUAAUUUUAUUCUUUCAUUUUCUUCUGUUUUUUAUGGGUUUGUUUGUUUGUUUUAUUCACAGCGUCUGAAGAAGAAUGAUCGCGUUUAUGAGGGUCUGAGCCCGGCCACCAGACAGACGGACACCUACGACCAGCUGCAGAUGCAGCCCCUUCCCAGCCGUUAACACCCUCCUGUGGGCGUGGCCCUCCUGUGGGCGUGGCCCUCCUGUGGGCGUGGUCUGCUUCAACAGAAAACCGCUUUAAUGUCAUCACAGUUCAGCUCAAACCAUCACUGUUUAUAACACGGUUUUCUAGUUGAAGAGAAGUGCAGAACCAUCCAACCAUCCACCCAUCCAACCAUCCACCCGUCCAACCAUCCAACCAUCCAACCGUCCAACCAUCCAACCGUCCAAUCAUCCAACCGUCCAAUCGUCAAACCGUCCAACCGUCCAAUCAUCCAACCAUCCAAUCAUCCAACCAUCCAAUCAUCCAACCAUCCAACCAUCAGACCAUGUCCACACACCUGUAACAUUAGAGUCAGACCAGUAUUUACACCAGCAGGGGUGGGGGUUACCAUAGCAACCAUAGGCAAAGAGCAGGGGUCACCAUAGCAACUGUAACCAUGGAGCAGGGGUCACCAUAGCAACCAUAACCAAAGAAAGCAAGGGUCACUAUA